rnacentral:rRNA from 1 species
AGUGGCGCACGGGUGAGUAACACGUGGGAACCUGCCCUGGAGUGGGGGAUAACCCGGCGAAAGCCGGGCUAAUACCGCAUACGACCUGAGGGUGAAAGAUUUAUCGCUCUAGGAGGGGCCCGCGUCGGAUUAGCUAGUUGGUGAGGUAACGGCUCACCAAGGCGAUGAUCCGUAGCUGGUCUGAGAGGAUGAUCAGCCACACUGGGACUGAGACACGGCCCAGACUCCUACGGGAGGCAGCAGUGGGGAAUAUUGGACAAUGGGGGCAACCCUGAUCCAGCAAUGCCGCGUGAGUGAUGAAGGCCUUAGGGUUGUAAAGCUCUUUCGGCGGGGACGAUGAUGACGGUACCCGCAGAAGAAGCCCCGGCUAACUUCGUGCCAGCAGCCGCGGUAAUACGAAGGGGGCGAGCGUUGUUCGGAUUUACUGGGCGUAAAGGGCGCGCAGGCGGCCUUAGUAGUCAGGCGUGAAAGCCCCGGGCUUAACCUGGGAAUUGCGCUUGAUACUCUGGGGCUGGAGUACGGGAGAGGAGAGUGGAAUUCCCAGUGUAGAGGUGAAAUUCGUAGAUAUUGGGAAGAACACCGGUGGCGAAGGCGGCUCUCUGGACCGUAACUGACGCUCAGGCGCGAAAGCGUGCGGAGCAAACAGGAUUAGAUACCCUGGUAGUCCACGCCGUAGACGAUGUGCGCUAGACGUUGGAAGGCUUAUCCUUCCGGUGUCGAAGCCAACGCGAUAAGCGCAGCGCCUGGGGAGUACUGCCGCACGGUUCAAACUCAGAGGACUUGACGGGGGGCCCGCACAAGCGGGUGGAGCAUGUGGGUUCAAUACGACGCAACGCGGAGGAUCGUUACCUGCUCUUGACAUG